CCCCCGCCGCCCCUCUUCGCUGGCAGAGACGGGAAGGCUGGCUCAGGGACGAGCAUAUUGUAGCAGACUCCGUUCCCUUUAGCAAUGGUUUGCAGGUGAAUCAUCCCAAGGCUCUCAGCACGGGGCUUUGCAAACACUAACUAACCCGGAGAGCACGCUGGUGGGGGUAGCGGGACACAAAAUGCUCUAUCUUGGCUGCUGGAUGGAGAGCGCUUGCUGUGUCGUCCCCUUCCGCUGUCCCUGCAGUGCUGCUGGAGCCAGAGGAUUGGAGCUCGGGGUUCCACUGCUACCUGAAAAGUUCCGAGUAAAGCAGGUAGAAAGUUGGGGAAUGAAGUCUUCUCUCCAGACACACGCUGUUUCAGGGAGAGAGGGGACACAGAGCACUAAUAUGCCAAAAACCAAGCCAUAAGAUAAAACACGUAAGGGUUGAGAUGCUUGAUCCUAUCCUUCUCCUGGGCCAAGAGAUCACAAAAGGACCAGAUGGUGAUCGGAGAACAAGGUAACAGUCCGAGAUUUGGGAAGAGUUGGGGGGGGGGGGGGGGAAUGAGGAUGACUUGUGCUUUGUCCUGAUUAAUUUUCUGUAAGAACUGAGGUAGGAGCAGCAAAGGAGGAAAGGCAUAGCUCGGAUGAUCUGACCAGGCGAGAAAAAGAUCACCACCCUGAGAGCAUAGUCCUAGAGCUCCAAGUAUAUGUUGCAUUUCUUGUUUGUUUGGGAAGCGAAUAGAUCCCAGUUGCUGGUCUCCUACUGAAGUGAAGACACUAUUUAUGGCUGAACCAUGCAAUUCCCACUCACGAUUGAUAGCAAAGUGCCUGCAGAGGGUGUCCGCCAACCCAUUCUGAGGCUGCCAACAGGGUGAUUCAAUUCCUGAUACACCAGUUCCACAGGGUGACUGCUUCUACACACAGGGGGAUUGAUCUUGCCCCUCCCACCCCCGGCUUGUUGAUGUAAAAGAGUUGCCAUGUUGUCUGACAUUAUCAGAACAUAGUGGGCAGGGGAGGCUCUACCUUUUUGGCCGCCCCAAGCAGUCAUGCGCGGGAGGCGCCCCGGAGCCGUGGGAGCAGCGGACCUCCCGUGUCG